UACCAAGUAGCUGGUGAGCUUUUGCCGGGU
rnacentral:piRNA from 1 species